ACGGGUGAGUAACGCGUAUCCAACCUGCCGUCUACUCUUGGACAGCCUUCUGAAAGGAAGGAUUAAUACAAGAUGGCAUCAUGAGUCCGCAUGUUCACAUGAUUAAAGGUAUUCCGGUAGACGAUGGGGAUGCGUUCCAUUAGAUAGUAGGCGGGGUAACGGCCCACCUAGUCUUCGAUGGAUAGGGGUUCUGAGAGGAAGGUCCCCCACAUUGGAACUGAGACACGGUCCAA
rnacentral:rRNA from 1 species